rnacentral:rRNA from 1 species
AUAACAUCCGGAAACGGGUGCUAAUACCGCAUAGUUUUCUUGAUCGCAUGAUUGAGAAAGGAAAGACGGCCUUUGUGCUGUCGCUUAUGGAUGGACCCGCGGCGUAUUAGUUAGUUGGUGAGGUAACGGCUCACCAAGACGAUGAUACGUAGCCGACCUGAGAGGGUGAUCGGCCACAUUGGGACUGAGACACGGCCCAAACUCCUACGGGAGGCAGCAGUAGGGAAUCUUCCGCAAUGGACGAAAGUCUGACGGAGCAACGCCGCGUGAGUGAAGGAAAAGGUUUUCGGAUCGUAAAACUCUGUUGUCAGAGAAGAACAAGUUGGAGAGUAACUGCUCCAGCCUUGACGGUAUCUGACCAGAAAGCCACGGCUAACUACGUGCCAGCCGCAGC